UACGUAGGGGGGCUAGCGUUGUCCGGAUUUAUUGGGCGUAAAGAGCGUGUAGGCGGCCAGAUAGGUCUGCUGUGAAAACUCGAGGCUCAACCUCGAGAUGUCGGCGGAAACCAUUUGGCUAGAGUCCGGAAGAGGAAAGUGGAAUUCCUGGUGUAGCGGUGAAAUGCGCAGAUAUCAGGAAGAACACCCGUGGCGAAGGCGGCUUUCUGGGACGGUACUGACGCUGAGACGCGAAAGCGUGGGAGCGAACAGGAUAGAUACCCCGA
rnacentral:rRNA from 1 species